CCUACGGGAGGCAGCAGUGGGGAAUUUUGGACAAUGGGCGCAAGCCUGAUCCAGCAAUGCCGCGUGAGUGAAGAAGGCCUUCGGGUUGUAAAGCUCUUUUGUCAGGGAAGAAACGGGUCUUUCUAAUACAGAGGUCUAAUGACGGUACCUGAAGAAUAAGCACCGGCUAACUACGUGCCAGCAGCCGCGGUAAUACGUAGGGUGCAAGCGUUAAUCGGAAUUACUGGGCGUAAAGCGUGCGCAGGCGGUUUUGUAAGUUUGUCGUGAAAUCCCCGGGCUCAACCUGGGAAUGGCGAUGAAGACUGCAAGGCUAGAGUUUGGCAGAGGGGGGUAGAAUUCCACGUGUAGCAGUGAAAUGCGUAGAUAUGUGGAGGAACACCGAUGGCGAAGGCAGCCCCCUGGGUCAAAACUGACGCUCAUGCACGAAAGCGUGGGGAGCAAACAGGAUUAGAUACCCUGGUAGUCCACGCCCUAAACGAUGUCUACUAGUUGUCGGGUCUUAAUUGACUUGGUAACGCAGCUAACGCGUGAAGUAGACCGCCUGGGGAGGUACGGUCGCGAGAUAACUACAAUAGAGUAGAGCGUGAGAGNGACGACGGACGACGACGAGGGAGGAGG
rnacentral:rRNA from 1 species